UGAUUCAUACUCGAGAAAGUACCUUAUCGAUUAAGUAUCAAUCUGUAUAUAGUAUGAUCAGAUGUUUCUUCUUUUUUUUUUUGAGAGAUAGAUAGCACACUAUCCGGUUCGUUUGUUUUAUUUAAAAAUAAAUUUAGCAAGAAAUGUGAGUUAAUUAGGAUUCGAACUUGGAACCUCGGAUACCAACCACCAAAUUCUUUGCCACUUGAUCAGAUGUUUAUAUAAGUGAUUGCUACUAUGCAUAAGUUGAGGAU
rnacentral:lncRNA from 1 species